UGCAUCGGCCGGGAUUCGAACCAGGGCCGCCCGCGUGGCAGGCGAGCAUUUUACCACUGAACCACCGAUGG
rnacentral:tRNA from 1 species